AUUGAACGCUGGCGGCAGGCCUAACACAUGCACGUCGAACGAGUGGCGGACGGGUGAGUAAUGUCUGGGAAACUGCCUGAUGGAGGGGGAUAACUACUGGAAACGGUAGCUAAUACCGCAUACCAUCGGAUGUGCCCAGAUGGGAUUAGCUAGUGGGUGGGGUAAAGGCUCACCUAGGCGACGAUCCCUAGCUGGUCUGAGAGGCUGACCAGCCACAGUGGAAGUGAGAAAAGGUCCAGACUCCUACGGGAGGCAGCAGUGGGUAAUAUUGAACAAUGGGCGCAAGCCGGAUGCAGCCAUGCCGCGUGUAUGAAGAAGGCCUUCGGGUUGUAAAGUACUUUCAGCGGGGAGGCGGUACCCGCAGAAGAAGCACCGGCUAACUCCGUGCCAGCAGCCGCGGUAAUUC
rnacentral:rRNA from 1 species